AAGCUUUGGAUUCCUUCAUUCUUUUCUUGGGCGUUCAUUCUUGGAUGCAUGGAGGUUCACAAGGUGAAGAUGCCUGGCUUGUGCUUGGUGUUGCUCAUGGCGGCUCUGUUGCUUCCUGGAUCUGAAGGCAAAAUUUGCAAGGAGUAUAGCAAAACAUACACUGUUUCUGAAUGCACGAGCGAACCAUGUGUCGAGCACUGCCAUAACGAGGGUUUCACCGAAGGGGAGUGUAAAACGAGUGAGUAUGAACUUGAUGAUUAUCGAUUCUGUCUCUGCAAGAAACAUUGUUGAUGAUGCUUCAGGAUGUCAGGCAAAAAGUAAUAAGAUCGUGAGGCAAGCUGUUUGUAACAUCCCAAAAUAUUCCAAUUUUAAGAUGUUAACGAGUAUUCUGUCUCUUGCAAGAAACACUGUUGAUGAUGCCUCAUGCAAAAGGUAAUAAGAUCGUGAGGCGAGACAAGCAAUAAAUACUCCCUUCGAUCC